CACAUCUGUUAAAAGAUAAC
rnacentral:snRNA from 1 species